GGGCCCAGUCACAGGUUGCUCUGACCCAGUCUGGUCCAGAACUGAAGAAACCCAGAGAAUCCCCUCGGUUGAAAUGCGCCGUGAGCAGGUUCACUAUCACCGACUAUUAUAUGGCUUGGGUCAGACAGGAGCCGGGAAAGGGGCUGGAGUGGCUGGUCAGCUACUGGAAACCAGGGAGCGAGUAUUAUUCUCCCACCAUCAAGGGGCGAUUCACAGCCUCCAAGGACAGCUCCAAUUUCUACCUGCAAAUGACCAGCCUGAGACCCGAGGACACCACCGUGUAUUACUGUGCCAGACACACA